AUUCCAGCUCCAAUAGCGUAUAUUAAAGUUGUUGCAGUUAAAAAGCUCGUAGUUGAAUUUGUGGUGGUUCCUGUGGUCCAAAAUGAUUUGUUACCAUUGGGCACUGCCAUCCUUGGGUGGAACCUGUGGGGCAUUAGGUUGUUUUGCGGGGGAUGCUCAUCAUUUACUGUGAAAAAAUUAGAGUGUUUAAAGCAGGCUUAUGCCAUUGAAUAGAUUAGCAUGGAAUAAUGAGAUAGGACUUGGGUACUAUUUUGUUGGUUUGUGUACCAAAGUAAUGAUUAAUAGGGACAGUUGGGGGUAUUCGUAUUCCAUUGUCAGAGGUGAAAUUCUUGGAUUUCUGGAAGACGAACUACUGCGAAAGCAUUUACCAAGGAUGUU
rnacentral:rRNA from 1 species